CAGCAGCCGCGGUAACACGUAGGGUGCGAGCGUUAAUCGGAUUUACUGGGCGUAAAGCGUGCGUAGGCGGCUUCUUAAGUCGGAUGUGAAAUCCCUGAGCUUAACUUAGGAAUUGCAUUCGAUACUGGGAAGCUAGAGUAUGGGAGAGGAUGGUAGAAUUCCAGGUGUAGCGGUGAAAUGCGUAGAGAUCUGGAGGAAUACCGAUGGCGAAGGCAGCCAUCUGGCCUAAUACUGACGCUGAGGUACGAAAGCAUGGGGAGCAAACAGGAUUAGAUACCCCUGUAGUCCCUGUCUCUUAUAC
rnacentral:rRNA from 1 species